GUAGAGUGUUUUGUGUUAAUAAACAAUUAUAAGGGUCCUUAAAAGAAGAACACACACAAGGAAAGGUGAUAUCCAAAUAAGCAGCCCAGAGAAUUCCUGACUUUACCACCUGUGGAGCUGCCUUCAAUAUUCAGCUUUAAUGAAGAUCCCUUUGCUUUGUUUACCUUUCUACAUGUCACGUUGUUAUUGUCUGCUGUACAUGAUACUAAACACAAUGGAUGAUUGAUAUUAAUUGGAAGAAAGUAAAAACACAUUCUUAAAAA